rnacentral:rRNA from 1 species
UACGGGGGGGGCAAGCGUUGUUCGGAAUCACUGGGCGUAAAGGGUGCGUAGGCGGGUCUUUAAGUCAGGGGUGAAAUCCUGGAGCUCAACUCCAGAACUGCCUUUGAUACUGAAGAUCUUGAGUUCGGGAGAGGUGAGUGGAACUGCGAGUGUAGAGGUGAAAUUUGUAGAUAUUCGCAAGAACACCAGUGGCGAAGGCGGCUCACUGGCCCGAUACUGACGCUGAGGCACGAAAGCGUGGGGAGCAAACAGG